AUUAAACUGGAGAGUUUGAUCCUGGCUCAGAUUGAACGCUGGCGGCAGGCCUAACACAUGCAAGUCGAGCGGAAACGACAUCUUCGGAUGGGCGUCGAGCGGCGGACGGGUGAGUAAUGCCUAGGAAUCUGCCCUUUUGUGGAGGAUAACCCGGGGAAACUCGGGCUAAUACUGCAUAAUCUCUACGGAGCAAAGCGGGGCUCUUCUACCCUCGCGCAGAAGGAUGAGCCUAGGUCUGAUUAGCUUGUUGGUGGGGUAACGGCCUACCAAGGCGACGAUCAGUAGCUGGUCUGAGAGGAUGAUCAGCCACACCGGGACUGAGACACGGCCCGGACUCCUACGGGAGGCAGCAGUG
rnacentral:rRNA from 1 species